GACGUAGGGCGCGAGCGUUGUCCGGAUUUAUUGGGCGUAAAGAGCUCGUAGGCGGCUCGUUGCGUCGGCUGUGAAAACCCGCAGCUCAACUGUGGGCUUGCAGCCGAUACGGGCGGGCUAGAGUUCGGUAGGGGAGACUGGAAUUCCUGGUGUAGCGGUGAAAUGCGCAGAUAUCAGGAGGAACACCGGUGGCGAAGGCGGGUCUCUGGGCCGAUACUGACGCUGAGGAGCGAAAGCGUGGGGAGCGAACAGG
rnacentral:rRNA from 1 species